rnacentral:rRNA from 1 species
GGUUAAGCGACUAAGCGUACACGGUGGAUGCCCUGGCAGUCAGAGGCGAUGAAGGACGUGCUAAUCUGCGAAAAGCGUCGGUAAGGUGAUAUGAACCGUUAUAGCCGGCGAUGUCCGAAUGGGGAAACCCAGUGCAAUUCGUUGCACUAUCGUUUGAUGAAUACAUAGUCAAACGAGGCGAACCGGGGGAACUGAAACAUCUAAGUACCCCGAGGAAAAGAAAUCAACCGAGAUUCCCCCAGUAGCGGCGAGCGAACGGGGAGCAGCCCGGAGUCUGAAUCAGCUUGUGUGUUAGUGGAAGCGUCUGGAAAGUCGCAGGGUACAGGGUGAUACUCCCGUACACUAAAACAUACAGGUUGUGAACUCGAAGAGUAGGGCGGGACACGUGGUAUCCUGUCUGAAUAUGGGGGGACCAUCCUCCAAGGCUAAAUACUCCUGACUGACCGAUAGUGAACCAGUACCGUGAGGGAAAGGCGAAAAGAACCCCGGCGAGGGGAGUGAAAAAGAACCUGAAACCGUGUACGUACAAGCAGUAGGAGCCCACUUGUUGGGUGACUGCGUACCUUUUGUAUAAUGGGUCAGCGACUUAUAUUCUGUAGCAAGGUUAACCGUAUAGGGGAGCCGCAGGGAAACCGAGUCUUAACUGGGCGUUAAGUUGCAGGGUAUAGACCCGAAACCCGGUGAUCUAGCCAUGGGCAGGUUGAAGGUUGGGUAACACUAACUGGAGGACCGAACCGACUAAUGUUGAAAAAUUAGCGGAUGACUUGUGGCUGGGGGUGAAAGGCCAAUCAAACCGGGAGAUAGCUGGUUCUCCCCGAAAGCUAUUUAGGUAGCGCCUCGUGAACUCAUCUUCGGGGGUAGAGCACUGUUUCGGCUAGGGGGUCAUCCCGACUUACCAACCCGAUGCAAACUACGAAUACCGAAGAAUGUUAUCACGGGAGACACACGGCGGGUGCUAACGUCCGUCGUGAAGAGGGAAACAACCCAGACCGCCAGCUAAGGUCCCAAAGUCAUGGUUAAGUGGGAAACGAUGUGGGAAGGCCCAGACAGCCAGGAUGUUGGCUUAGAAGCAGCCAUCAUUUAAAGAAAGCGUAAUAGCUCACUGGUCGAGUCGGCCUGCGCGGAAGAUGUAACGGGGCUAAACCAUGCACCGAAGCUGCGGCAGCGACACUAUGUGUUGUUGGGUAGGGGAGCGUUCUGUAAGCCGUUGAAGGUGGCCUGUGAGGGUUGCUGGAGGUAUCAGAAGUGCGAAUGCUGACAUAAGUAACGAUAAUGCGGGUGAAAAACCCGCACGCCGGAAGACCAAGGGUUCCUGUCCAACGUUAAUCGGGGCAGGGUGAGUCGACCCCUAAGGCGAGGCCGAAAGGCGUAGUCGAUGGGAAACAGGUUAAUAUUCCUGUACUCGGUGUUACUGCGAAGGGGGGACGGAGAAGGCUAUGUUGGCCGGGCGACGGUUGUCCCGGUUUAAGCAUGUAGGCGGAUGUUC